CAAUAGCGUAUAUUAAAGUUGUUGCAGUUAAAAAGCUCGUAGUUGAAUUUUUGCUUGCCGCCGAUGUCGGAACUUCCGUACGUUCGGCGGCGUGCAUCCUUGGGUGGAACCUGUGUGGCAUUAGGUUGUCGUGCAGGGGAUGCUCAUCGUUUACUGUGAAAAAAUUAGAGUGUUCAAAGCAGGCUUACGCCGUUGAAUAUAUUAGUAUGGAAUAAUAAGAUAGGACCUUGGUACUAUUUUGUUGGUUUGCGCACCGAGGUAAUGAUUAACAGGGACAGUUGGGGGUAUUCGUAUUCCAUUGUCAGAGGUGAAAUUCUUGGAUUUCUGGAAGACGAACUACUGCGAAAGCAUUUACCAAGGAUGUUUUCAUUAA
rnacentral:rRNA from 1 species